rnacentral:rRNA from 1 species
AAAACUUUCAACAACGGAUCUCUUGGCUCUGGCAUCGAUGAAGAACGCAGCGAAAUGCGAUAAGUAGUGUGAAUUGCAGAAUUCAGUGAAUCAUCGAAUCUUUGAACGCACAUUGCGCCCGCCAGUAUUCUGGCGGGCAUGCCUGUUCGAGCGUCAUUUCAACCCUCAAGCACAGCUUGGUGUUGGGACUCGCGUUAAUUCGCGUUCCCCAAAUUGAUUGGCGGUCACGUCGAGCUUCCAUAGCGUAGUAGUAAAACCCUCGUUACUGGUAAUCGUCGCGGCCACGCCGUUAAACCCCAACUUCUGAAUGUUGACCUCGGAUCAGGUAGGAAUACCCGCUGAACUUAAGCAUAUCAAUAAGCGGAGGAAAAGAAACCAACAGGGAUUGCCCUAGUAACGGCGAGUGAAGCGGCAACAGCUCAAAUUUGAAAUCUGGCUCUCGGGCCCGAGUUGUAAUUUGUAGAGGAUACUUUUGAUGCGGUGCCUUCCGAGUUCCCUGGAACGGGACGCCAUAGAGGGUGAGAGCCCCGUCUGGUUGGAUGCCAAAUCUCUGUAAAGUUCCUUCAACGAGUCGAGUAGUUUGGGAAUGCUGCUCUAAAUGGGAGGUAUAUGUCUUCUAAAGCUAAAUACCGGCCAGAGACCGAUAGCGCACAAGUAGAGUGAUCGAAAGAUGAAAAGCACUUUGAAAAGAGAGUUAAAAAGUACGUGAAAUUGUUGAAAGGGAAGCGUUUAUGACCAGACUUGGGCUUGGUUAAUCAUCUGGGGUUCUCCCCAGUGCACUUUUCCAGUCCAGGCCAGCAUCAGUUUUCCCCGGGGGAUAAAGGCGGCGGGAAUGUGGCUCUCUUCGGGGAGUGUUAUAGCCCACCGUGUAAUACCCUGGGGGGGACUGAGGUUCGCGCAUCUGCAAGGAUGCUGGCGUAAUGGUCAUCAACGACCCGUCUUGAAACACGGACC